rnacentral:rRNA from 1 species
GAUGAACGCUGACAGAAUGCUUAACACAUGCAAGUCUACUUGAACUUCGGUUUGGGUGGCGGACGGGUGAGUAACGCGUAAAGAACUUGCCUCACAGUUAGGGACAACAUUUGGAAACGAAUGCUAAUACCUGAUAUUAUGAUUUUAGGGCAUCCUAAGAUUAUGAAAGCUAUAUGUGCUGUGAGAGAGCUUUGCGUCCCAUUAGCUAGUUGGAGAGGUAACGGCUCACCAAGGCGAUGAUGGGUAGCCGGCCUGAGAGGGUGAACGGCCACAAGGGGACUGAGACACGGCCCUUACUCCUACGGGAGGCAGCAGUGGGGAAUAUUGGACAAUGGACCAAAAGUCUGAUCCAGCAAUUCUGUGUGCACGAUGACGUUUUUCGGAAUGUAAAGUGCUUUCAGUUGGGAAGAAAAAAAUGACGGUACCAACAGAAGAAGUGACGGCUAAAUACGUGCCAGCAGCCGCGGUAAUACGUAUGUCACAAGCGUUAUCCGGAUUUAUUGGGCGUAAAGCGCGUCUAGGUGGUUAUGUAAGUCUGAUGUGAAAAUGCAGGGCUCAACUCUGUAUUGCGUUGGAAACUGUAUGACUAGAGUACUGGAGAGGUAAGCGGAACUACAAGUGUAGAGGUGAAAUUCGUAGAUAUUUGUAGGAAUGCCGAUGGGGAAGCCAGCUUACUGGACAGAUACUGACGCUAAAGCGCGAAAGCGUGGGUAGCAAACAGG